UACAUUUCCCAUGAUUAAACUCAGAAGAGAUGACGUCACGAGCUCUAUAAAUCCCACCAUCUGUCGUCGUCACAUCCUCUUUCCGUUGCUCUUCUCGCUUCGAGAAUCCUCUCCACACGAUGAGAGCCAAGUGGAGGAAGAAGCGCAUGCGCAGGCUGAAGCGCAAAAGGAGAAAGAUGAGGCAGAGGUCAAAGUAAGCCCUCAUCUCUACCAGCUGUGAAUCCCGUCGGCGCCGUUCCUGAUGACUGACGCUUGUGGCUGAAGUGGAUUGCUUGGUGCCUUUGGUGAAACGAAGACCCAAAUUCUGCUUUCAGAUGACGCCGUGUCUCACGGAUCCAGCUGUGGAUGUCAGACUGAAAGACGGCAAAGACGCUGGAUUGAUCCCAACAUCAGAACAGCAGCUGCUAUGUUCCUGGACCAUGAUACAAAUUGCUUAUAAACAACUGUCAUGUGGUGUUUUGAACAAUAAAUGAACACUGUUUAAAAAUUGA